rnacentral:rRNA from 1 species
UAGGGAAUCUUCCGCAAUGGGCGAAAGCUUGACGGAGCAACGCCGCGUGAGUGAUGAAGGUCUUCGGAUCGUAAAACUCUGUUAUUAGGGAAGAACAAAUGUGUAAGUAACUAUGCACGUCUUGACGGUACCUAAUCAGAAAGCCACGGCUAACUACGUGCCAGCAGCCGCGGUAAUACGUAGGUGGCAAGCGUUAUCCGGAAUUAUUGGGCGUAAAGCGCGCGUAGGCGGUUUUUUAAGUCUGAUGUGAAAGCCCACGGCUCAAACGUGGGGGGUCAUUGGAAACUGGAAAACUUGAGUGCAGGAGAGGAAAGUGGAAUUCCAGGUGUAGCGGUGAAAUGCGCAGGGAUAUGGAGGAAAACCAGUGGCGAAGGCGACUUUCUGGUCUGUAACUGACGCUGAUGUGCGAAAGCGUGGGGAUCAAACAGG